UACGUAGGGGGCUAGCGUUGUCCGGAAUCAUUGGGCGUAAAGCGCGUGUAGGCGGUCCGGUAAGUCCGCUGUGAAAGUCGGGGGCUCAACCCUCGGAUGCCGGUGGAUACUGUCGGGCUAGAGUGCGGGAGAGGCGAGUGGAAUUCCUGGUGUAGCGGUGAAAUGCGCAGAUAUCAGGAAGAACACCCGUGGCUAAGGCGGUUCUCUAGUACGGUACUGACGCUGAGACGCGAAAGCGUGGGGAGCGAACAGG
rnacentral:rRNA from 1 species